rnacentral:tRNA from 1 species
CUUUAAUAGCUUAUUAGAGCAUAAUAUUGAAGAUAUUAAGGAAGUGUAAACUUUAAAGUAU